AUGACAUGCAGCUUUCUUGGUUUCUCUUCCUUCUUUUCCCCAGGUCCUGAACAGUUUUAUUUCAUGAAAGAAUCAGAAAAGGAAGGGUACAGCUCAUGGAUACAGAAAUUCAUGCAGAGGUUUGGUAUACUCAACCACAGUUCCAGUCCCACCUUCCUUGCCGGGGGAAGUUUUCUCAGAUCAGCAUGGGAUGGAGCCACCCAAGCAGGACUGCUGUCUAAUAGGAGGACAACCCAGAGCAGAGGACACCCCAUGGAAGGUCAAGAAGAGACCUCUUCAGCCAGAGCACAUCUCCAAGUACCUAAGCAAGGCAAGUGAUGCAACACUGGAGAUGGAAACCAAAUCCCACCAAGCACUGAGAACAUAAUGCAAUAUUAGGGUCACAAAGAGGUCAAGAUGGAGGUCAACCCACAGGUGGAGGUCUGGCUCAAGGCAGGCUGGGGACUCACCAGGUACAGCUGUGGCAGGGACCAGCUGCCCCCAGGCUGAGCUCAGGUGGCCCUGGGUGUGGGGGGGACACAGGUGAGGCAGUCAGGGUCAUUGAAACUUAUUAAUGCACUCAGGACUCUGACAGAAUGUUUCACAGGGUCAAAAAAAAAAAAAAAAAAAAAAAGGAUUUGCAAGCGUUACACUGAUAUGAAGUAUGAUAUGGUACCUACGUAUUAUAUUAUUAUGGGGGUAGAUCCCUCCAUAAACUACAGAAUAUGUUAACUCCUUUUCUAAAAAGGUCUUUUUCUGCAGAAGGGGAAUCGGAAGAUCUGUACGGACUCAGUUUUUGCCAUGGUGGUUGUGGGUAACUUGUGGGUGGUAUUUUGGCAAAGGAAAAUGCAUUUUGUUAGAGAUACAAAAUAUGUCAUGCUAUGACAUCUACCCAUACAAUGACAGAGGUUAAAGAUGGAAAAGUGUAUUAAUUCAGUUACUCCCCAUUUGGAUAUAAAAUUGUGGACAUAGUAAUCCAUAAGAAAUGAUGCUAGGGUGAAUUUGUACAUUUUCUAGAAAAUGAUGGAGCAAGAUACCAUUCUUUGACUAGUAGAUAAAGAAACAUCAAAGUGGAAAUUAUUAGAAAAAAAACCUGAAAGUAGACUAAAAAUAUUUUCUCUAUUAGUUUAACUGAUAUUAACCAUUCACACUCUCCCAGUUACUGUCAACUGUUUUUUCAAAGAGGAACAAGAAUGUUGCCGUGUUUCUUUACAACAGUAAAUUACAUUAAUUCUGUAUCGCUUAAAUAUUCUCACAAACAAAUAUGAGAUGAAAAACUCCAAAUCAAUGAAUUAAAGAAUCUAUGAGAUAUUUACUGAUAAAUAGAAAUAACAGUAAU
rnacentral:lncRNA from 1 species